GGCUUGGUGGUCUAGUGGUAUGAUUCUUGCUUAGGGCUAAGACAUUCGGUCUUACAAGCUGCAAGAGGUCCCGGGUUCGAUCCCCGGCCAAGCCC